UUAUUCAGGGCAUGAGGUGGGCACAUGACCAAUAUAUUCAUAGUUGGACAGUAUUUCCCAUCCCAUGCAUGAAGCUAGUAAAGACAUGGAGAGGUACUUUAGCCUAAGUGAAGCUUUACCUUAAGUGGACAAAAGUACUUUUUUGCAGAUCAGAGCUGCUGUUAGACUUUAUAGACUAACCAUCACUGCUUCCAACAAACAAUAGGUUUUCUACUUUCAUGCCAAUAUUGAAGUUUUUAUCUGAUCAAGUUUUUAUCUGAUCAAGUGUUUACAUAAAUGCUGUCACCACUGUCACCUGAUUGUUCUGCACGCCUAAUUUAAUAUAUAUAACCUAUACCUUACUGAUAACUGCACAGUAUUGUAUUUUUCCUCUCUUUUAUUGUAAAUCCCUUUCAGCCUUUUUGUGAUUGUUUUUUGCACUUUGUUUCUUAUAGCUUUUAGUUUGGGUAAGUUUUCUACUUUUUUAGAUAAAUAUGAACCUGUGUACUUUCAUUGCCUUAUUGGUUUGGUGCUGACACACUCAAAUGUUCCUAUUGUGGAACAAUAAAGGUUUUCUAUUCUAAUUAAUUGAGAGAGAUAACCAUGACUUCUGAGAUCACGCAUAACCAAGUUACUGUUUGAAAAUGUAAUCUACAUUAUACUUUCAAAGAAGAAUAAACACUUCUGAUUUGGAAAAUUAACUUUAUGUUAUAAAUCACCACAGGCAAAAUAUGGCAUACUUAACCAUCUAAGAACUUGUAACAAAGAACAUUAAAAUAGAACCUAUUUCUGGUCAGGAAUAUCAAACCAUGGCAAAAUGUAUUUGCCUUUUGAUCUGGGCUUCUCAGAAAUUUUCCCCCAAAAUGUGUUGAUUCACAGCAUUCAGUCUGCUGUGUAUAACGCUGCAUGUGGUUGUAUUGUCUUCUUUUCAGACACAGUCUUCACUAUAUUUGCCAGGUCAUCAUAAAGCUCCCACACACAUGGAGCUCUUCGGCAGUAUGCAAUGUAAUGUCCCAGACCAUCUUUAGUCAAGCUUCCCUUGAAAGCGAUGACUCCUCUCAAAGAGAAUGUCUUUCCUUGGAGAGCAACAGUGGGGGGAAAUUCACUCAAAGGAAACUGAGUUGUGUUUGCAAGUGGGCGAAGGCAGGGAGACUCCGGAAGGAAGAGUCCAUUUUCCACUGAAAUGUCAAGCUGAGCCAUGCCACAGUCCAUCAGCACAGAAAUGUCAGGAGAAACAAAUGUGGCUGAGCUUGCUGUGAGGUUGGUGCUUUUGAAGAGGGGGACCAUUACUCCUGUCCAAAGUGGCAGUCCCACUGACAGAUCAUCUUUAUGCAGUGUGCCACAUCAACCCUGAUAAAACAAGGAGGAAGUUUUGCAGACUGGUUCCCAAGUAGCAAACGGAAGCAUUCGUUAAUGUAUGUCUUCAGAUUGGGGUAAGGAGUGAAGGCCUUCACCAGAGCACCAAGAAUAGCCAGAGAAAAGUCACUCACGGCUUCCUUUGGUAUAGCAGCACCUGUACGAAGCCAUUCUGUCAGCCAUGUUGCAAUUGCAUUAAUGUCGUGUCUCUCUGACAGCAUUUGCACAACUGGGACUGAGCAGUUGUCCCCUGUCAGAACGCCUUGAUAUAAGAAGAUGUGGCCAGAUGUACCAUUUGGUCUCACCAGUCUUCUCACAACUGAGCCAGUUGCGUCAAAGCAAACUACUGAGGGGCAUUUUUUGGACAAUGCCUUAUACACAUGUAGCUGUGUUUGACUCCAAUAGUGGCAGAAGAACUUGUCUAGACCAAUGUCUCUUAUACUACCACUGUGAGGUGUGCUAUAUUUGAAUAACUGCAAAGACAAAAUGGGAUCUUUGUCACCUAAUUCCAAAUCUCUUCUCUCCUGCUUAGCUUUUCGUAUGGUGGCCAAAUUUGGAAGGUGACUUGGCUCAGCAUCUCCAAUAUCCAUCAAAUCUGAUGCCUUCGCUGACCUCCAUACAGCCGGCUCCAUCCUGCCCUCACACAGUUCUUUUGAAAUCUGUGCACGAAGGUUUCCAGACAUGAACCUCUUGGAUUGCCCAGUGUGCAGGGAGAUAUCAGUGUCUUCGAUGGAACACUGAAGCAGCAUUGGGCUGUUUACCGUUGGCUCUCUAGCACAAGUCAUUUUAAUAUGGCCUUGACACUCUUUACAUAAGCCUUUGAUAUCUAUGUAGUUGCUUGUGACAGUUGGAUAAACCUUUGCUCUCUGGAACACAAAUGUACAUGUGCUUUUGAUCUUUUUCCAAAUCAGAUGGUUAAUUACAUGACUCCAAGUGCCAGGCUUCAAAAUCAUAUAUUCCCUUUUGCCAGAUGAUGAAAACUUGUCAUUAUAUUCCACUUUCUCAGGUACAAAUUUGAUCCAUUCCUCAAAAGGAACUUCAAGCUGAAAACCUGAGCAGUCGUCUUGUCCAGGAGAAAUGGAGCCAGAGUCAAACUCUGUGUCCACACUGCUCUCACGAUCACUUUCCUGCUCACUGAUCUCCAAACAUGACCAGAUGUUGUGUCUGUUUGACUUUAUAAAAGUGUACAGGGCUUUUGGAGACAUCUUGUUUUCCAGCUGCUGACUUAAUACUGUCCAAAUAGUGGCAGCUGGAGUGGCUAUUUUGCCAUUAAGAAGGAUAGCCUCUUUGGAAGUGCAGAGAACUGCAAUAAGGGAAUCCCUGUCUAUUGAUGGCUGUCGAGGCAUCUAGUUAAAGAACGAAAAGGCUUUGAUUAGCAUUAAUCAAAAUAUUAUUCUGGCCUAUAUAAUCUCCCAAAGCCACAAAACAUUGAUAUUUCAGCAUUCUAUCACAACUCAAAAACUCAGUUUAAAUUGUUCUCUCAAAUCUGUAAGCCAUUUAUGCAGUGUUGUAAUUAUAGUAU